rnacentral:rRNA from 1 species
UACGAAGGGGGCUAGCGUUGCUCGGAAUCACUGGGCGUAAAGCGCACGUAGGCGGCUUGUUAAGUCAGGGGUGAAAUCCUGGAGCUCAACUCCAGAACUGCCUUUGAUACUGGCGAUCUUGAGUCCGGGAGAGGUGAGUGGAACUCCGAGUGUAGAGGUGAAAUUCGUAGAUAUUCGCAAGAACACCAGUGGCGAAGGCGGCUCACUGGCCCGAUACUGACGCUGAGGUGCGAAAGCGUGGGGAGCAAACAGG